rnacentral:lncRNA from 1 species
GAAAAAUGAUGUUUGUGGGAGCGCGCGUGAGAGUGAGAGAGAGAAAGAGAGAAAGGGAGUGAAAGAGAAUACUUAGUGCCUGUGAGUGUGUAGAGAAAGAGUAGGAAUAGAUGGACUGCGAAAGAGAGAGAAAGCUGGAGAGGAUGAAAGAAAGAAACGUAUAUGAAUGUGCGCGAGUGUUCUGGUGCGAAGCCGCGCAAGCAUGCAGGGGGCAAAAUAAGGCAGAGGACUUAGGAGCAGACGAUAUCUCUGCGUUUGAAUGUACGUACGUUGAUAUUGUGUAUAUGUAUAUAUAUAUGUGUGUUUGUUUGUCUCUGUGCGUGAGAGAGAAAGAGUGAGAGGAGAGAGUACACUAAACAUAGGGAAAUAGGUGUAUAUGUGUGUAGAUGUGGCCAAGAAAGAAGAGAUUGUGUGUGUGUAUGUGUGUUUGUUUGGUGCUUUUUUUAUUUGUAUAUGAUGUGCUUGUGUAUGUGCAUGUGUAUGUGUGCGUGUGUGUGUGUGUGUGUGUGUGUGUGUGAGGAGGUUAUUUUAUCCAGAGUUGUAGAAAAGACUACAGACAUUAAAUAGACAACAUACAAACACACACAUUCUCCUUCUCACACACACAUACUCUCUCGCCCCCUCUCUCUCUCUCUCUCUCUAUCUCAUAAUAUUUAUCCCUCUCUCACACUCUCUGUAUCUCUCCGAUUCUGUAUCUAUCACUCUCUCCAUUCCUCCUGUCUCUCCUCCCCAGCCUCGCGGUCUUUUAUUUCGAUGCUUAUUUUAUCUACACAAUCAUAAACACACAAACAUUUACACACAGUUACUCAUAAAAUCAUACACACACAUACACACACACACUAUCUCUCUUUUUAUCUCCCUCUUUCGCCUGUCGACCUGUCUCUCUUUCUUUCUUUCUAUCUCUGUCUUUCUGUGUAUUUGUUGUGUCUGUCUCUUAGUCUUUUAGUUAGAUCGUAUUUGUAUAGACCACACAGGCACACAGAUCCCCCCAUCACACACACACACACACACAUUACAAACUCACCCACACUCACCCUCUCUCUUUUUACAGUCACUCAGACUUUCUUUCUCUCUUUCUCUUCCUCUUCUUCUCUCCUUCCUCUCUUAUUCUCUCAACUCCACGCUGUCUGUAUAUAGAUCACUGUUGUAUAUAAUAAUUACUAUAGCGACAACCGUUCAAACUAUAUAAUCUGUUGAAAGAAGUUCUCAAACAUGCAGCCAAGCGCAAGCAACAAUACUUACAACAACCACUUUACAGGUAUGGCAUCAACUUCUAUUACACCUUUUCACUUCUUAUUCAUAAGCCACCCACCAAUUUUUAUCAGUUCAUUUACUCAUUUAUUUAUUUGUUUACAUCUGUCAACCAACAGAUAUAGUUGCUCUAUACUUUUUUUUUUCUUUUGAAUUGUAUUUUAAUAUUUUUCUCCCUUAUUUUUUUCUGAAAGGAAAUUUGUAUUUUGUAGAAAUUUAAAACUUUGAAAUUUAUGUCUGUGUUUCUGCCUAUUUAUUUAUUUGUUUAUAUAUAUAUAUAUAUAUAUAUAUAUAUAUAUAUAUAUAUAUAUAUAACUGUUAUAUGUCUCUCUAUCUUUAGUGUCUGUCUGUCCUAUUUAACAAUAGGACAAAAGUUAUCAUGUUUACUCUUAACCGAAGUAAACAAGAUAGAUAGAUAGAUAGAUAGAUAGAUAGAUAGAUAGAUAGAUAGAUAGAUAGACAGUGAAGAAGAAACUGUAAAAAGAAAACAUUGAAAAUGUGGAAACAUAGCUGUUACUGUUAGUUUUAGUUAUGGAAUUGUGGUCAUACGCCUAUGCUGGGGCACACCCUUCAACACUAUGCAUACACUCUCCCAAUAUAUGUAUGUAUGUAUGUAUGUAUGUAUGUAUGUAUGUAUGUAUGUAUGUAUGAAUGUAUGUAAUGAACCAGCGACACGUCCUGGAAUCUCCAGAUUAAAAGGCCAGUGGGAUACACACAAACACACACACAAACACACACACACACACGCACGCACGCACACGCACACACACACACAUUUGGUAGAACCAACAAGAGAAAUGAAACUCAAUACAUGAGUAUUCUUAACUUUCUUUUCUUAGUAGAAAGUUAAAAAAGACUCGAGAGCCCAUAGUUUCGAGCAUGCUACUAACCAAACAAAUAUGUGUGUCUGUGUGUGUGUGUGUGCGUGUGUGUGUGUGUGUGUGUGUGUGUGUGUGUAUACCAAAAUAGAUGGAGAUCAAAAAGAGACUGUAAUAAUAAUAAAAAACUUUCCAGAAACAUGACAACACAGGGAAAAUUGAAUUUAAAAAAUGCGAAUUAAAAUAGAACUCCAACCCAUUUUUUUUCUUUUUUUACGUAUUUCUUAAUUUUAGCUGACAGACCACAUAUCCGGCCACACAAGGAAUAGAGGUAAAAUAUCAAUGAAUUAGAAUGCAGGUGGGACAGAAUUUCAAUUCUUCAUGUACGCCAUACAAGUCUACAUGUUUUGUAGUAAUGUAAACGUUGUUUG